GACGAACGCUGGCGGCGUGCCUAAUACAUGCAAGUAGAACGCAGUUGCGAACGGGUGAGUAACGCGUAGGUAACUGCCUCAUAGCGGGGGAUAACUAUUGGAAACGAUAGCCAAUACCGCAUACUGUGAGAUGGACCUGCGUUGUAUUAGCUAGUUGGUGAGGUAAAGGCUCGCCAAGGCGACGAUACAUAGCCGACCUGGGAGGGUGAUCGGCCACACUGGGAAUGGGAACCGGCCCAGACUCCUUCGGGAGGCAGCAGUAGGGGAUCAUCGGCAAUUGGCGGAAAGCUGACCGAGCAACGCCGCGGGAGAGAAAAAGGUUUUCGGAUCGGAAAGCUCUGUUGUUAGAGGAGCGUUAACUAACCAGAAAGGGACGGCUAACUCCGUGCCAGCAGCCGCGGUAAUUC
rnacentral:rRNA from 1 species